rnacentral:rRNA from 1 species
UACGUAGGGUGCAAGCGUUAAUCGGAAUUACUGGGCGUAAAGCGUGCGCAGGCGGCCUGCUAAGACAGAUGUGAAAUCCCCGGGCUCAACCUGGGAAUGGCAUUUGAGACUGGCAAGCUAGAGUGUAUCAGAGGGAGGUAGAACUCCACGUGUAGCAGUGAAAUGCGUAGAGAUGUGGAAGAACACCGAUGGCGAAGGCAGCCUCCUGGGAAAACACUGACGCUCAGGCACGAAAGCGUGGGGAGCAAACAGG